UACAGAGUUCUCCAGCGUUGUUCGGAUUCAUUGGGCGUAAAGGGUGCGUAGACGGCGCGGUAAGUCGGGUGUGAAAUCUUGGAGCUUAACUCCGAAACUGCAUUCGAUACUGCCGUGCUUGAGGACUGGAGAGGAGACUGGAAUUUACGGUGUAGCGGUGAAAUUCGUAGAUAUUCGCAAGAACACCAGUGGCGAAGGCGGCUCACUGGCCCGGUACUGACGCUGAGGUGCGAAAGCGUGGGGAGCAAACAGG
rnacentral:rRNA from 1 species